GAUGAACGCUGGCGGCGUGCCUAAUACAUGCAAGUCGAGCGGACGGGCGAUGAGCUUGCUUCUUGGAUGUUUGCGGCGGGCGGGUGAAUAACACGUGGAUAAUCCACCUAUAAUACUGGGAUAACUUGGGGAAACCGGAGCUUAUACCGGAGAAUAUUUUGAAACGCAUUGGUUAAAAGUGAAAUACGGUGUUUGUGUCACUUAUAGAGGGUUCUCCGCUUGAUUAGAUAGUUGGUAAGGUAAAGGCUUAUCAAGGGAACGAUGCAUAGCCGACGUGAGAGAGUGAUAGGCCACCCUGGAACUGAGACAGGGUCCAGACUCCUACGGGAGGCAGCAGUAGGCAAUCUUCCGCAAUGGGCGAAAACAUGACGGAACAACGCCGAGUGAGUGAUGAAGGUGUUCGGAUCGUAAAACUCUGUUAUUAGGGAAGAACAUAUGUGUAAGUAACUGUGCACAUCUUGACGGUAACUAAUCAGAAAGCCACGGCUAACUACGUG
rnacentral:rRNA from 1 species